AUGCCCCACUUAAAUGAGACGUCCUUAUAAACUUGGCACAUCAACAACUUGUGAUUAACCUAUCCCUUAUAUGUAUUAUUUUAUUAUGCAUUGUAACACCGAUGCUCUUCUCAUAAAACACUCAUCUAUAUAUAUGCUUUGGUAAGUACUGAAAAAAAUCCUAUUAAUAAAUGGAGGUAAUUUUACUCAAAAUUGGAUUUAAACUUUAAUAGUAAUUUGUCACUACAGAUUACUUCCUGCAAAUAUGUCGUGUAUUGAUAAAAUAUUGUAAUAUAUGACCAGAUGUCAAUUGAUCAUUGAUGCUCAACACAUUGUCUUUGAGGUUUCUUCCUUAUUCACUGGAAAACCUAUGCUUCAACUCUCAAGACAUUGAUUCAAAAUACAGUGUAGUUUCUAGAAGAGCAGAGUAGCAAUAUAAAAAAAGACUGGCCUGACAGUAUACAGAGCACCUCCAUUACAGACUGAUCUUGAGUUCUUCUACAAUCCUCAUUAGCUGGGCUGUGGCUGGAGGCUGACCAUCAAGGAAGGGGAAAUGGUGGACGGUGAGCCCCGCCCCUGACAGCUCAUGAAGCAACCACUGGACACGGUACUUGUUCAGCUCUCCUUUACUGCACAGACAGUACACAUCCUGCACCUCCUCAGAAACCAGACAUUCUAGAAAGGAUGAAUACUGCAAAUCACUUUUAAUUCAUGAGAACUUCAUUUUUGCAUUCAUUUGCAAAGUUAAUUACCUUGUGGUGAUAGUAAUUAAGGUUCUGGUGAAUAGUUUUUAACAAAUUUAGAUAUCUGACGAGAUAAUAUUGCUAAAUGAAGUUUAGCAACAUAUAGAUGAUUUACGGUAGAAACACGCAGCCCUAGAAACUCGUAAUUUAAACACCGAAUAAAGCAAUCCCUUUUAAAGUUUUAUGAUUAUAUAUUACGAUUUAUAUAACAUAUUCAAAGCUUGAGUCAAAGGUCUACAAAGGCUUGAAGAGGAUAACUAAGUAUUUUAUUCUACAUCAUGAAACUUUCAUAGUUAUACUUAUAUCAUUUUCCAGGGAUCUCCAGACAUCUUUGAAACGGCAACCUAUGAAGAAAGAUCAUCAUGUGUAUUAAGUAGUUUAUAGAUAAAUUUUUCUGCACCUGC